CCUGUCACACGCCCCACGCGGUGAGAAGCGAGCGAGCGAUUCCCACAGCCCAAGGAGAGCGCAAGGACUGGUGGCUGAAGCGUCUGCAGCAGCCUCCCUCGACCCCGCCCCGGCGGUGACGUGUGCCAGCGUGACCAGGAGUCCACCUUCCUCAUCCUGGUUCUCCACAGUGAGUGAUGCCCAUAAGGGACUGGGAGCAGAGGGGCCUCCCGAGUGGCCUGUGAGACAACUUGUGUGUUGGUAAUUUGGCAAUCAUAGGAAAUGGGCAACAGAGGCCUGCUCCGGAGGAGAAAUUCGCCCAGCCUAUUUGAGUGCAAUCACGGUGAGUUCCCGGCCUGCGAACUGCACGCCCCCCGGCCUCCUUGCCUGCCUCUAUCAGAAGGACGUCAGACUUCGACUCUAGCAAUGCCUCACAGUUUCAGCUCCUGCCCCCAGUGAUCCCAAACAAUGAGAUGUCUGGCCCCAGGUCCCACAGGAUUCAGGCUGUGCCAGAGAAAGCCAUUGGAUUUCCCAACUCGGCACACUAAGUGCUCAAUGAAAGCUCACCAAAUGGGGUAUUGAUGCCAUCGAAUGGACUGCAACAGAUGGAAUAUAAUUUGGAAAAACCCUUCUGCCAUCCAAAGAGACCUUUCCUUUCCUGAAGCUUCCCCACUGCAAGCAGAGGGGUUUCCAUGGAGUCUAUAGCAUACCAGAGCAUAUCACAUCGUCUACAGCAUAUAGCGUACAUAGCAUAGUAUAUGGCAUCGUCUGUAGCAUAUUAUAGCCUAUAGCCUACUUCACUGAAGACCAAGUAAUGUCCAUCUGCCUUGAAGUGGGGUUUUCAUGUGCAGCCAAAGAUAAUAAUAAUAUUGAGUCCUCUCACAACCUAAUGAGGUGCCAGUGUUAUGUCCAUUUUAUACAUGAGGAAACUCUGGCCCAGAGAGGUUAAGUAGUAACUUGCUGAAGACCAGGCAGCUAGGGAGGGCAGAGAAAGAACUCAGACUUAGCCCUCUGAAUAAACUAGGCACAGACAGGCAGGAGGCUCCAACCUCUGCACAGAAUAUUAUUCAUUUGGCUCAUCUUCUCAAUCCUGGAGGACCCUUGAGAGACAUGAAUGCAACACCACCUUCUGGAAUUACUGACAGAGGAAUUUCCUCCCUGUGAUGUCUCUUGCUUUCGUAUCAAGCUUCUGAGCCGUGCUUGGAGCUCCCUCGUGACGAGGCCAGGGCAAGUGUAACUGCAUCUAACAGGAGAAGGCAGAGGCACAGAGAGAAGUGAUACGGUAGAGACCGGGAUCGCAGGACAGGAUAUGGCAAGCGCAU
rnacentral:lncRNA from 1 species